rnacentral:rRNA from 1 species
GAUGAACGCUGACAGAAUGCUUAACACAUGCAAGUUACUUGAAGCUAACUUCGGUUAGUGGAUGGUGGCGGACGGGUGAGUAACGCGUAAAGAACCUGCCUCACAGUUUGGGACAACAUUUGGAAACGAAUGCUAAUACCGGAUAUUAUGAUACUUCUGCAUGGAAGAAUCAUGAAAGCUAUAUGCGCUGUGAGAGAGCUUUGCGUCCCAUUAGCUAGUUGGAGAGGUAACGGCUCACCAAGGCGAUGAUGGGUAGCCGGCCUGAGAGGGUGAACGGCCACAAGGGGACUGAGACACGGCCCUUACUCCUACGGGAGGCAGCAGUGGGGAAUAUUGGACAAUGGACCAAAAGUCUGAUCCAGCAAUUCUGUGUGCACGAUGAAGUUUUUCGGAAUGUAAAGUGCUUUCAGUUGGGAAGAAGCAAGUGACGGUACCAACAGAAGAAGCGACGGCUAAAUACGUGCCAGCAGCCGCGGUAAUACGUAUGUCGCAAGCGUUAUCCGGAUUUAUUGGGCGUAAAGCGCGUCUAGGUGGUUAUAUAAGUCUGAUGUGAAAAUGCGGGGCUCAACUCCGUAUUGCGUUGGAAACUGUAUGACUAGAGUACUGGAGAGGUAAGCGGAACUACAAGUGUAGAGGUGAAAUUCGUAGAUAUUUGUAGGAAUGCCGAUGGGGAAACCAGCUUACUGGACAGAUACUGACGCUAAAGCGCGAAAGCGUGGGUAGCAAACAGG